UCUCCAGCCGUCGUUCACGCCGCUCACCACGAGCCUUGCUUCUUCACGUCACCUCCUUCUCACACAUUUUCCCUCUCACCUCUCAAUCCAUGGACACCCUCCCUGCUCUGAUCCCCCCCGAUGCUCGCCGUGGGUGCCGUUUGCUGCCCCAACGCCGUUCCGCGCCCCCUCCACUCCGGCCAUGAGCUCCUCCCAGUGAAUCCCUCUAGUCCCCUGCUCAUCUCCCAUGGUGGCCGCAGGGAGCUCUGGAUCCAUGGCCGUCGGCCUCUGGGCGUGAGCAGCCCUUGGCUCUCUCCCCUGCGACAGACUUCCUCCACGGUGUCUCUUUCCCCAACCAUGGUGGCCGGCUCCCUGCUCCUCCAUUCGGUGCCCCUGGUUUAGGGCCGGUCGACCUCCGGCGACCUCCUCCCCAUGGCACAGCAGGCCGACGCCCCUGCCUCUACUCCAUCUUCCCCAUUGGACAGCACGAGCUCCUCCUCGCCGAUACGCCAGCAACCCUGCAGCAGCGCCACUCGAUCUCCUCUAUACGUGAACAACAGCAACCCGGAUCCCAUCCACGUCGUAUGCGUCGAUCCGAUCUGUGCAGUCCCAACCCACGACGUCGCAACACCCUUGCCCUCCGUCGAUGUCACGCUUCGCUCAUCGCUCCUCGACGAAGAGCCAUAACCGUGGUAGACAUGCAUGCGCGAUCCGAACUGAUUUCAUCAGGUAUGUUAAUUGAUCACGUGCUAUGGAAGACGAGUGGAAUUGAUCUCCAAGUGAUGCUGAUGGACGAAGCUAAAAUGGAUGAAUCAACCAAGUGCCAGGAUGGAAGAUGCUCACCAAGUGGUCGUCAAUUAACAACACUAACGUAGUGUUUAUCCCAGGUUGUAAUUUUGUUCUGUUGUGGAUGGUGCUAAGUGCCGGUGGGCUCGGCCUUCUUAUAUAAGUAUAUCCCAUCUUUAGCUUCCCUAUUGAGGAUUGUCACUUAAGCUAGCAUGUAUUUUAAAACUUAUAAAUGUUUUAUACAUUCAAAUUGUAAUCUUUUUGAAUCAAUUUCUUUUGUAAUCACCUCCGAUGAUAUAUAUUGUAAUCUUGUUAUAACUUGUAAAUGUUGUAACUUGUAAUCAUUUUGUAAUAAAGAAUUUAUUUCCGCUGC
rnacentral:lncRNA from 1 species